GUUUUAAUAGUUUAAUAAAAAUAAUGAUCUUGUAAAUCAUAGAUAGGCUUUGACCUUUAAAACU
rnacentral:tRNA from 1 species